GAGUAUUUGCGUUGCAAAGAAAUGCAUAUUGUUUCAGACUUGAAACAGAAGGUGUUGAUUUCUCUGGUAGCGAGACUUAUUUCAUGACUAGUUCUUAUUUGAAAAUGAUGUGGAGAAGAAUCGAUUUUCUUUCGGACUGUUCUUGAAAAGGAUUACAACUUUGUUUUCACGGCUGAUAAUGUGAUGUGGUUCAGGAACUUAUUUGUUUCUCAAUGCUUUCAGUAUCCAAUGCUUUCUUUGAUGAAUUGCAUUUGAUUGAGAACUCUUGUGAGAUCAUUGACAUUUACAAAGCCUCUGUCUUAUUGGCAGAGAAUAGUAUUAUGUCCUUUUUGUAUGAUAAACUCACAGGACACAUAGAUCAUGCACUUUGGGAGGCUAAACGUGUCAUUUCCAAGGGGUCUUCCUAGCCAAUUCUGUCUUGACACAUUGUCUCAUACAACCAGAAACCUCACCACUCUACAAUUUGUGUAAGUUAAUAUAGCCUUUGCUAUGUUUGAUUAUUGUUCUGCAAUUUAUCUUCUUGCUGAGCUUAUGGUUUUGUGGUGAGUGCUCCUUCAGAGUUUCACACCGGUUCUUUUGUUGCCUGUUUUUUAAAUUCCAAAUCAAUUCAGUCUUGUUUCGUUCUUGUUCAGUUGAGUUUUCAUGCAAUUAAACAAUAAGAGUCUUUUCUAUUCAAGAGCUAGGGACUCACUCUAGUAGGAGGAUUGGUCACAGUGCUCUGUUCUUGCUGUGAUUUCAUCUGAAACUAGAAUGUUAUCAUCUCUUUUCUGCAACAUGUGUAAUAAGUGUUUUACCUAAAGCUCUUUCUCUCUUCUUAUACUCAUCAGUAGCUGUGAUUUUCACUUGAAAAUAGUAGUCUUUAUGGUAAAUAUAAUGUUUUUAUUAAAGUUUUUUUGUUUCAGAGAAUUUUGGGACUUCGUACAAGCAAGCUUAGCUUACAAAAGACGUUCGGCGAGUAACUGCGAAGACGUAGAGAUAUACACUUAUUUUACAAAAUUAUAUGUAUUUUUAUAGACAAAGUAUGGUUUAUGUAAAA